GACAUCAAAAAUGACAGUAAGAACGUCAGCGUCGUUCAUCUUCUUUUACAUGUUUUUUCAUGGCACAAUAAGUUGCCCAAAAGGCCAAUAUAAAAAUAAUUUUUUGGACGAUUGUCUGGAUUGCCCACUAGACCCUUCUAGUUGCUCAAAAGAAGGUGAAAAUGCAGAAUCAUGUAGAUUGAACUGCAUUGGCCGUUCAGACAGAUGACAGCAAUAGUAUUGGGAAGGUGAUAAUAAUUUUGGGAGUUUUGUCCGCGGUGUUGACAGCUGCUAUAUUGGCUUGUAUAAUAUACUACCAAUGUAAACGCUCGAAAAAACAUACUGAUAUCAAUGUGCCGACGAGUACAGAAGGGGGAAACCAAAGUCGUUUGUUAGAAAAUGAUGAUGAAUCUUCAGAACAUGUUAAUACCCAUGAGCCAUCGACAACCAGAGCCGAAAGAGAAAGCACAAGUGGCUCGUUACCUGCUGUACAAAAUAACGAGGAAUCUGAACAUCAUCAUGAGAUUCAAAGAAGUUUUGUACUUGCUAUUAGUGACGCAACACGAUCUUUGGAGUCUCAUAAAGACAACGAGCAGGAACGUAUUGAAAUGGCUUCUUUAGAAAGUCAUAUGUAGUCGAAAUUUUUCCGGCUAAACAGAAUUUUGCUUCAAUAAUAUAGUUUAAACGUGUUUCAGUUUUCAAUGUUUAUGGAGAAUGUAAAUGCUGUUAAAUGCACAGCAACACUUUCUUUAAAUGUUUAAAUUAUAUUGUUAGGAUAUACAUUUUAAAA